rfam:TPA: Bos taurus chromosome X, whole genome shotgun sequence.
UCCCUGGUGGCUCAGAUGGUAAAGCGUCUGCCUGCAAUGCGGGAGACCCAGGUUCGAUCCCUGGGUGGGGAA